rnacentral:tRNA from 1 species
UCCAUGGUGACUCAGAUGGUAAAGCGUCUGCCUGCAAUGCGGGAGACCCAGGUUCGAUCCCUGGGCUAGGAA